rnacentral:lncRNA from 1 species
UGUGUACAUAACCGUUCGGCAGGUUUCAUAAAAAAUUAGCACACCAAAACAUUAACUGCGUCAAGUAUGAGACCAUCUAUGAGAAUAUGAACUCUGAUAUUGGUGUAAGUGCUUUGUAAAUAAGCAUAAUCAGUAACUCAGUAUUUGAAGCUGUAACGUAUAUUUGAAAUAAUUAAAGCGUCUACCUAACUAAUGUUCUUAUGGCAUUGGUUAAGGAGAUAAAAAGAUAAAUCUUUUUGUAGAAAUUAUAGGAUAACACAAAAAUAACACUAUUAUGCAUUCCAACAAAUUUUUUUCUCAAGUGUUGUUGAAAAAGAUUUUUGAAAUUUAAUUCUUAGAAUGUAAAAUAAUAGAUUAGUUGUGACAUUAUCUUCUAUCUUAUGCCACUGCAAAAAAAAACAUGUACACUUACUUAAAUUGCUUCAAAGGUGGUUGUAAAGUACAAGACCAAAGUAAAAAUGGAAGAAAAAAGACAAGUUGUGCCUAUGAUAUAUACCUUUCCACUAGUGUAAUCAUCAGAAGAGCUCAGCAGCCUACGAUCAUGAUCAAUAUCAUCUCCACCCUCUUCUCCAUGUUUUUUCAGAAGUAGCUCCCCUUUCACCUUGGUAAGUUUCAAACCCGAGAAAUCAAAAGUAGAAGCGUGCCUAAUAAAC